GGGUGAUUGGUCUAGUGGUAUGAUUCUUGCUUAGGGUGCAAGAGGUCGCGAGUUCGAUUCUCGCAUCACCCC